GGGAGCUUAGAUGUGGAAGCUCUUUGGAAACCAAGAAACACUCUGAAAAUGAAAAGGGUGGAAGAGUAAACUGUUCCUGUUUCUCCAUCUUGACAGGAAGCAGAAGUUCUCCUUAGCUGAUUUUUCUUCUUGCCUUAUACUGGGUUCUUUAACACCAGAACAAAAAUAAAUAAAUAAAAGAAUCUUCCAGAAAUUCAUGAAGAGACUUCAGGUCAGGAAAGCCUGAACUUUCUCAUCCAACACCCGUUCAAGUCGGAGGAUGCUGAUUAAUUCAUGAUGGAAAGGUAUCAAUUUCACAGCCCAGACCUCUACAUUCUUGAAAUGCUCUUCUCAUGGGAGACAUUAAAUAAGCUUUGAAUUAACUAAAAAUAUCCAACCCGAGCAGGAUAAAACUGAUCAUCCUGAGGAUAUUGCCCUUGGAGUUAAUUUUUUGAGAGAAAUAAAACAAUAAACAUCAUAAGACACAAACCCCAAGCAACUGAUCUCACUGUUAAAAUCCAACCUGAGAACAAUGGAAUGGACCAUACUGUCUUUGUCACAACUCUGCCAUUGCAGCGUGAAAGCAUCCAUAGACGGUACACAAAUGCAUGGAUGUAGUUGUACUCCAGUACAACUGCAAAAAGCAGACAGCUGGCUGGGUUUAGCCUACGGGCCAUAGUUUACACAACUCAAUCUAGGUGAUUGCCUGGUAACUUUGUGAUUGUAAACAGGAAA
rnacentral:lncRNA from 10 species